CCUAACCUUCCCGCGAAAGGAAGAUUUGACAGCAUGUCGAGUCACUUCCCUUAUAACACGACGAUAAAGGCUCGUGCGACCAUGGGUACCGGCUGUCUGACAGUCCACUUCUCCGAUGUGGUGAUUACGGCAUUUGGAUUGGGGCACCACCAGAAUGUACCGCUAACCUGCACGCCGCCGCCUCAAGUCUUCCACGGCAAAUGGCAACUGAGUUUUCCAGAUACGAAUAUCCCACUUGGCACCAAGGCGACUGUUAAUUGCGCGUCUGGGUAUAUCUUACACGGAGACCCUGUCGUAACAUGUAAUUUGAACGGAGAAUGGCAUAGCGCUUGUCUCUAUCCGGGUUGUAAGUUUGAUGACAAUAUAGCAGGUAUGCAAGACACUUUAUAUGAGUGUUUUUGUAAGGUUAUGCAUAUUUUAUUCGUACUCUUUUUGCGUUUGAUAUUGUCGUUUGUAUAUUCUUAUUUUCAAGGCAAAAAAACAAGAACGCAAUCAGGAAAUGAUUUGGAAAAAAGAAAUGCCGAUGGUUAAUCAGAAAUAUUUCCUUACAUAUAGUGUCAACGAAAAGACUUGCAACAAAAGAGCACAGCACCAUCAAUAUUUUGGUUAAUGUUUUAGUCGCAAUAAUCACACUUGCCGCUGCUAUCCUCGUCGCUGGUUGUUUAAUAUGGAUGAAACGACGCCAUGAAAAAACAAGGCUAAGUAGACGAAGACAAGAUUCGACGGAACCGACGCUGAACGCAUCACGGAAAAACAGCGAUGGGGUCUCGGUUGGGACAUGCUCAAUUGCCGGCCCAAUGAAGCGUUAUUUUACGUCGGAUGAUAUCACCGGAUGAGGUCAAAGCGAUUUUUUGUUUGCUCCUUCUACGACUAGCUUAUCAUCGCAGCCUGUAUUCAACUUCAACGUAAGCGUUAACGUCAAUAAUUCCAACAGCGACAAAAAAGCAAAGCAACUACCGUAGACAGUGGCAUCAUCACCGGAGACUUCGACAAUUCGUCAAGGUCUGAUAGAAACCCGCUGGAUCCGUUUCCGACACAGGAAACUGCCGUUAACCACGACCAGGAAUACGAACGGCAUGAAUUGAUCACUCCUAGACUGUCUGCCGAUCCAGUAGUUUACUUAAGAAGUACAUGCUAAAUCGGUAGUUAAAUUAUUAAGUACUUUAUUUUUACUAAUAUACUAAUAAUAAUGUACUAAUAUGUUUGCUUGGAAGUAUGUGCUGAACCAUACGUUUCCUAAAAUGGUUAAUGCUGAAUGUGCUUUUUAGUGAACAAUAUAAGAUGCCCAAAUAAAUACAAUUCUUAAGUUCAAAUAAUUUAACACUGUGUACCAGCUGAAUAAUAAUGAGUUACAAUUUCUUGCUGCGUUUGUUUAUCUGUAUUAUUAAUUUGUUAGAAUAUAUCAUUUUGAUCACGCAAUUUAUACUGUUGUUCAGUUACUAUGUAUACACGCAAUCAACACAAAUGUUAAACGGAUUGUGUAAAGUUGUGUUAUCUUAAAAGACAUAGCAUGACUGAUAAACGAAUUAACUAGCGUUGGUCAUAAAACAUAUUUUUUUUCUUAAAAAACAGCAUCUGCAUUUAUUAUUUAAGAUUGUUUACUUUAAGGUACAAGUGUAAAUCUCUUAUUCAGGUUUAAAUAAUGUCUGACAGAAGGAACCAUUAAUCAUUUACACCAUUUAGCUCAAGUGUACAUUGAUGUUUUGUAUUUUUAAUUUUAAGUACAAUUUUGUAUUUGUAUUCGACCGAUUCCUUUAAAAUACCAAUACACCAUUUGCACAGUAAACGUUUAUAAAGCAUGAUUCGUUGACUAAGUGGCCAAUUUUGGUAAAUAACAGGGUAAUUAUAACUAGAACGAACUUGAUAAGCAUGAUAAUCUAUUCAAAAGCCUAUAUUUCCAACCAAGUUUGGUUACGCAGUAUUGCGUGCAUGUCUAAGUCAUAUCCAUCAGUUACUGUCGUUUGUCAAAUUGAGUGUUAUACAAUUAUUAGCCCCACAUGUAAUAUUGUUCAACGCUGUUAAAACCCUUAUCCCCUAAAACCAUAACUUUCUGUAAGAAGUGACUGUGUGACUUAUUAUGCACAAUUCUUAUUUAAAUACAUUCUUGUAUACAAAAUAUUUUUGAAAAUAAAUUGGUUGUAUAUAAUGAUUUUUAAAAUAUAGUUUGUUUUUUUUCAUUUCAAAAUAAUUAAAUUUUAAACAAAUUUUAAAUUGUUGUUUUGUCUGUUUUCAAUUGAAAUUCCAUUACUCGUCGCAUUACAUGUUUGCUUUGUUGUGUAUUGCAUAUUUUAAAGCUAAGUGUUUAAUCAUGUUUAAUCGAUUCAUAAAUCAAUUCACAGUGUAUAAGACAUUAAAAUGCACUAAUAUACUUUUGUUAAUGCUGGUAUUUGCACAAUUAUAUACAGUACUAUCAAUUAAUUCGUGUAUAUGUAUAUUCAAACUGAAUACUUUUUGGUAGAUAGUUUUAAUACUGCAUUUGUUAAAUAAUUUUUGUUCUCACUUACUAUAUAAUGUAUUUAAUAUAACUUUUGUAAUCACGAUCGAAACAUAUGGUACGUUUGUCGCUUUCAAAUCAAUCACGUAUAUAUCAUUUAAAUUACUUAUACUUUUGUCGAUCGAAAGGUGAAGUCACAUUGUGUCCUUAAAGACAAAUGGGCAUAUGUCGAAGCCAAUUCUGUUGUGCGUGUGUGGACCAAUUAAAAAAAGAUACUGUAAGUCAUGAUGCCCUAUGAACAAAACUUGUUAUUUCGGAUAGCAGGUGUAAAAUGCUUUAUGUGCUGAAUUCCGUAUAUGCUUAUGU